rnacentral:rRNA from 1 species
CCUACGGGGGGCAGCAGUGAGGAAUAUUGGUCAAUGGACGAGAGUCUGAACCAGCCAAGUCGCGUGAAGGAUGAAUGUCCUAUGGGUUGUAAACCUCUUUUAUCAAGGAAUAAAACGAGGCACGCGUGCCUUUUUGAAUGUACUUUAUGAAUAAGCAUCGGCUAACUCCGUGCCAGCAGCCGCGGUAAUACGGAGGAUCCGAGCGUUAUCCGGAUUUAUUGGGUUUAAAGGGAGCGUAGAUGGGUUGUUAAGUCAGUUGUGAAAGUUUGCGGCUCAACCGUAAAAGUGCAAUUGAUACUGGCAGUCUUGAGUACAGUAGAGGUAUGCGGAAUGCGUGGUGUAGCGGUGAAAUGCUUAGAUAUCACGAAGAACCCCGAUUGCGAAGGCAGCUUACUGAACUGUGACUGACGUUGAUGCUCGAAAGUGUGGGUAUCGAACAGGAUUAGAUACCCGUGUAGUC